AAGCCUGAUGCAGCGACGCCGCGUGAGGGAUGACGGCCUUCGGGUUGUAAACCUCUUUCAGUAGGGAAGAAGCGAAAGUGACGGUACCUGCAGAAGAAGCACCGGCUAACUACGUGCCAGCAGCCGCGGUAAUACGUAGGGUGCGAGCGUUAUCCGGAAUUAUUGGGCGUAAAGAGCUCGUAGGCGGUUUGUCGCGUCUGUCGUGAAAGUCCGGGGCUUAACCCCGGAUCUGCGGUGGGUACGGGCAGACUAGAGUGCAGUAGGGGAGACUGGAAUUCCUGGUGUAGCGGUGGAAUGCGCAGAUAUCAGGAGGAACACCGAUGGCGAAGGCAGGUCUCUGGGCUGUAACUGACGCUGAGGAGCGAAAGCAUGGGGAGCGAACAGGAUUAGAUACCCUGGUAGUCCAUGCCGUAAACGUUGGGCACUAGGUGUGGGGACCAUUCCACGGUUUCCGCGCCGCAGCUAACGCAUUAAGUGCCCCGCCUGGGGAGUACGGCCGCAAGGCUAAAACUCAAAGGAAUUGACGGGGGCCCGCACAAGCGGCGGAGCAUGCGGAUUAAUUCGAUGCAACGCGAAGAACCUUACCAAGGCUUGACAUGUUCUCGAUCGCCGUAGAGAUACGGUUUCCCCUUUGGGGCGGGUUCACAGGUGGUGCAUGGUUGUCGUCAGCUCGUGUCGUGAGAUGUUGGGUUAAGUCCCGCAACGAGCGCAACCCUCGUUCCAUGUUGCCAGCACGUCGUGGUGGGGACUCAUGGGAGACUGCCGGGGUCAACUCGGAGGAAGGUGAGGACGACGUCAAAUCAUCAUGCCCCUUAUGUCUUGGGCUUCACGCAUGCUACAAUGGCCGGUACAAUGGGUUGCGAUACUGUGAGGUGGAGCUAAUCCCAAAAAGCCGGUCUCAGUUCGGAUUGGGGUCUGCAACUCGACCCCAUGAAGUCGGAGUCGCUAGUAAUCGCAGAUCAGCAACGCUGCGGUGAAUACGUUCCCGGGCCUUGUACACACCGCCCGUCAAGUCACGAAAGUUGGUAACACCCGAAGCCGGUGGCCUAACCCUUGUGGGGGGAGCCGUCGAAGGUGGGACCAGCGAUUGGGACUAAGUCGUAACAAGGUAGCCGUACCGGAAGGUGCGGCUGGAUCACCUCCUUUCUAAGGA
rnacentral:rRNA from 2 species